GUAUUUAAUCUGGAGGCCGGCGUCUUCUCGGUCCUUUUCACCCAAGACUGUGCUGUGAGCAGAAAGACGUCUCCGAUACAUAAGAUGCAAAACAACCCGAGUGCUUCAGUCAUCUUCACCGCCAUGCUCUGUUCGGAUCGUAUGCCAUGUGGCGGUCUGUACGAGCCAGAUGGAGGAUGAUGGCUGUGUUAGAGCUUCUGCAGAAAGUCCCAGUGAUAAUGGUGCUGCUGAUGCUGAAACACCGCAGCAGUCUGUCACUGCGCUAUAAUUAACCUCGAGGAAAAUGGGUCUGGAGCAACGGGCUCUGACGAGAGGACAGAUACCAUCUGCAUCAAGUCGUGUGUGAAAACGUUUAAAGCUUGGAGAUGAACCUGGAGAGAAGCGACCGCAGCGGCUCUAAUGACACCGUUGAGCAGCCUUUGUCAGAGUUAAAACUUUACUGGUAAUAAACAAGAUGCUGCAAACACCCGAUGGAGACCAGUGGAACAUUUCUUUCCAGCCCUGAUGCCAAACAUACAUACUUGUUUUUAAAUGGUUUUUAGUUGUUACAUCUGAUCACUGUCAGUUUUGCAUCUGUCAGCAACACAAUACAUUCCAUACAAGUAACAUGAAGCUGUAUGCUGUACAUGCUAUGUGUCAAAUUGAUGCAAUUGUAUCAUUAAAUGAAUAAACUUUUACUCCAAAAGAAUUUUAAACUUGAA